UGCAAGUCGAACGGCAGUAGAACCAGCAAUGGGACUAUGAGAGUGGCGAACGGGUGCGUAACGCGUAUGCAACUUACCUCCAACUGGGGAAUAGCCCUGGGAAACCGGGAUUAACACCGCAUAAGAUGGUAGAACCGCAUGGUUCAGCCAUUAAAGUUUACGGUUGGAGAUGGGCAUGCGUGCCAUUAGCUAGUUGGCGGGGUAAUAGCCCACCAAGGCGACGAUGGCUAGGGGGUCUGAGAGGAUGAUCCCCCACACUGGUACUGAGAUACGGACCAGACUCCUACGGGAGGCAGCAGUAGGGAAUAUUGGUCAAUGGACGCAAGUCUGAACCAGCCAUGCCGCGUGCAGGAUGAAGGCGCUCUGCGUUGUAAACUGCUUUUGUACGGGAAGAAUAUAUCGUUUGCGAACGGUUUUGACGGUACCGUAAGAAUAAGGAUCGGCUAACUACGUGCCAGCAGCCGCGGUAAUACGUAGGAUCCAAGCGUUGUCCGGAUUUAUUGGGUUUAAAGGGUGCGCAGGCGGCCUGAUAAGUCAGUGGUGAAAGCCCGUUGCUUAACAACGGAACUGCCAUUGAUACUGUCGGGCUUGAGUACAGUUGAGGUUGGCGGAAUGUAUCAUGUAGCGGUGA
rnacentral:rRNA from 1 species